CUGAAAGAAACACGAAGAUAAAUGGAAAGAGAGAGACCAAUCUUGGCACAGGCGUGUAAAUAAAGAGGUUUAUUUAUACGCGUGCAAUUAACCAGCGAGCAGAUCGGCAGUCGCAGAUGCAACUCUGCUCGAAGUGCAUCAAGUAGCUACUUAUCCACAGCGGUAACUGCGCUGGUGAUAGCGUUAAUAGCGGUGCGUGUGCGCUCGACUAAAGGUCGUUAAUGCGACGUUAUCCAGAAAAUAGGGCGUCCGUUUUAUCGGUCCCGUCGUUUCGUCGCAUUUUUCGGUGGCCACGCCGUUAUCGUCUGGUCGAUAAAACUUUUACCGUGAUGGAACAUCGAGAAAUAAUGUCGUCGUUGCUCAGUCGAUCGGUUUUGCGGCGAGUAUUCAAAAGAGGAAGCGUGUUUUCCCAUAUCGGGCCACUUUUAGUCGACAGAUAAGUAACACGAUUUUUAGAUUAUCGAAGAAUACGCGUUGACGUAUUGCUGGGAAAAUGUUAAUGAUAGAAAGAGAUGGGAUGACAGGGUUGGUGAAAAUACCAGAGGUUUGAUAGUUUAUUGCAAUGGUAUCGUUCCAUUGGUUUAUUUUAGGAGGAUGUUUAAGGAGAAUGUCGAACCGGUGGUUUUAUGAGGAUAAUUUUGAUUUGUGCAGAAGUGGAUUGAUAAGAUCGAUGUAAAGUAGUAGAAGUAACAUUCCUAAGAGACAUUCCUAAAUGAAGAUAUUGGCGUGGUAAACAUUAGAUCGUGGAUAUUUAGUUUUUAUAAAUAUCGAUUGCACAAAAUCAAACUUCGAAUUACUUUUUUGGGGAGUAAAUGAUUGCGAAAUUAUGAAUUAAACUACACAUGUAUACGAAAAUUCAUAUUUUUACAAAUAUAAUUAAAGAAGUUGAAGAUAAGCAAUAAGUUCCAUUUAAUUAAAAUUCCUCGAUCUAAAUUUUUCACUGUGAUUGUUGAAAACAUAUAUAUAUAUCUUCAAGUCGAAGAGCUACUUAAUUCAAAGAAAAUGAACGGUAUAAAGAAUUAAUAAUUAUUUUGUGCAAUUUACUUGAAAUUGGAUAGAAAAUCUUGAAAAACGAUCAUUACGAGAGACAAGAAAAAUAUAUGCGAUAAACGGAGAAAGAUAGUGAAUAUAAAUUUAUAAAUACAUCCAAAAAAUGUCGAGAACGAGGACAAAUAGCACGAGAAUGCCUCGCUGUUGCGAAUAAUAAUGAUUAACACCUGUUCGUUAAUUGAAACGUGCCAACAACGCCUGUAAAGCUUUCUGCUUCAAUCACUGUAAUUAUGUAUUUAUAAACGCUAUUUAACAUUCGUCGAAGAAGGUCUAAGGCUUUUCCUCGGCUAAUGAGUCUUCGUUAUACACGCGUUAAACCUGUCGUCUAAUCGCAUCUGAAAUGUUUUCGAAAAUGAUCAACGCAUCCUUGGCAAGUAUAUUAUAAAUACGUAGAGGUAUUUACAUUCAUCGUGAUUAUACAGAUGACAUGAGAAAUUGCUUCUUUGAUUUCGAGACUAUAGUUUAAAGAUAAAUUACUUAAUUAAACAUACUAUGAAAUAGAUAAUAAUAUUAAAUUGCUGUACUGUGUUAAACAAAAAUAAUAUAAAUAAUACCAAAUUAUCAUCGCAAGAAUAUUCCCGACGAUAACAUAACUGACGUACCGUACAAUUCUAUGCAAUUAUACGCAAGUAUGUGCAAUUCCGCAUACUUCAACAAUACGUUCGUGAAAACAUAAAAUUGCAUAAACGCUUGCAGUGCAAUUAAAAGAAAAAAAAUUCUAAAGUGACUAAAAGGGUGGAAAAAUCGAGGAAUCUUUAAACGGGCCGACUGGGCCGACUGUCCCGUGACAUCGUAGCUUCACGCUUUCAUCGGACCGCUGGGUCCGGAGCUUUGAUCCGCGAGACAGCUGGUAAAACGGCCGCGUAACAAGAGGAAAAUAGUAUCCGGUAUCGAUUAGAGGGGUGCGACGAGAUUUUCCGUGGCAGCGAGCGACGCACGAUUUCACGGGCGUUAACUCGAAUCGAGGCGAACCGUCGAUGGCCGGUCGAUCGCGACAAGAUAAAUGACCGUGCGUCCGGCCGACCAGCAAACCGGCACUAUUCUCCCAAUUAUGUGGCCUCUCCAUCGACCCCGGUGUCCACCUGUCGCCGGGAACACGCCGUGAUUGAUGGACCACACGCGAGCAGUACGUGCCUCGCCACCGCCUCGAUCUUUCCACCACUCUUCUUCCUUCUCUCCUUUUCUUGCUCCACCUUCGACCGCUCGGCGUCGUUCAAGACUGAAAUUUCGCGAACGCGUGACGCUUUAAUUGUCCACUUUAAUGCCUUUGCGUGGUCUUUGAUCACGCGAUUCCACGUAUUUAAGCGAACCGUGAACCGAUUCCGACGAAUCGUCAGUUUCAGACGAAUUCUUCAAGCUCCAGCCGCGAGCCACUCGGGGCAUUCUUUUCACGCGGUAUGUAAUGAUGGUUGUUGACGUUCGUCGCGGCUACUAGGAAGUCUGAGAUGCGUCGCGGAACUUUUUAGACGUUACGUAAUUUCAGAUUUCUGGAUAUUAGUCGAAUUUAAUAGGAAUUAUACAAUUAGUGUUUCGGUGAUAGCUGGCUGAACAACACUACCAUAAGAAUAAUACGGUGUUCGAUGUAAAAAAAAUAGAAGUAGAUAUAAAAAUGAACGAUAUUUGUAUUUAAUAUUUUCUCAUGUCAUUACAAAGAACGGAAGCAUUCAACGUGGAUGUAAUUAUAACCCCAGCUUGUGUCUUAUAAAACAGGUGUUGUAACUUAUUAAACAAUAAUAAUUCUGAAACCAAAAUUCAUCGAUCUAAUAAAUAUCUAACAGAGACUAAAGUCAUUAUCACAGGAUAGAGAAAGUGCGAUCAAUAAUGGAAAAUACAAACGGCUGCAAACAGUAAUAAGAGAUACAAAAUAUCUCUGCAAAUUUACCAAACUAUCCUAAUCGGCGCGUUAAUUACAAACGCUCGGUCCCGUCUCUGAUCUCUCUCACAAAGAAUCCCAAAUCCCCAUAAAAUAAAUCCGGACAACCUAACUAUAUAUGUGCAAAUAGUAGUCCCAAAAAUAAACCGUGGCUACCGUUCAAUGAUCAAAUAAUGGCCAUAAAAAUAUGAAGAAACCUCGGAGUAACGAGGACCGCGAUAUAUCAAAAGCAGCGGGGUGAAACGUUAUCGGUUCCAGAUCAAAGAGCUUAACGAUCGGAUCGAACGCAGCGACGUAGGCUUGGCCAAUUAUCAGUGCCACGAAGAAACGCGGCAGCAACAACGAUGGCGACCUCGGUCGGGGAUGUUUAAUUAAUUAAGCCGGUCGUUAAAUAUAAGUCGCGUGCUAGCCAGGGUGUCUAAUAUUUCUUUGACUUUACGAUUUUGCGCCGUGUGGACCAGAGGAGUCCCCAUAGCCUAUUGGACACUCAAUGGGCGUCCCAUAGGUACCAAAGUGAAAAAGAAUACGUCGUCGUAAGGAAAUUCGAAAGUGCGAAGUUUCAUAGAAUGCAGAAUGCACAUAAUAUGAAAAAAAUACAUAAAACAUCCAAAGUAUAGUGCUUUCCAUAACGCUUGAUAGAUAAAACAAUUUUCUACCAAGGUUCUACUUGCUCUUUUACGUUCUCAAAAAUAUGAAUUUGCAUAAAAAUCCGCAGUCUAACUAAUGCACGUUCCCUGGGUACCAGUGUGAAAAAAAAUACGCGAUCGCAAGGUAGCGGAAGGAACCAACGUAUUUUUGUGGCUGGAGAGCCCGUACGAUGGGACUCAGCAUGGGGUUCGUUUCUUUUUGGUCGGUGAUACUAGAUGCCCCGUCUAGGGGAGGUCUUUGACGAAGACGAAGGCGAACACGACGAUGGGUAAAGGAAGAUCGAGAAGAUGAAUAAGAGAAAAGAAGGAAAAAGGAUGGAUCGAGCGACGAAAUAAAGAGAAGGACGUCGUCUGGGUGUUGGAUUACUCAAGGCCUACGGGCAGUGGUUCCUUGAAACGUGCAAUCGAGGCCCGCGGGUUUCGACAGUCUUCUUCCUGGGAAUUUGGUUGCCAAUUGCACGACGAUGAGUCUUUUUUUAGGGUAAAGACUUGGAGAGCUACGAGGAAGGAUACUGGUAUGAGUAGAUGUUUAUACGGUCGAUGGCCCGAAUUUGUUGUUUUCGUUGCCACGUUAUUUCUUAUUGCAUAUAUCCAUCGCUAAAUCAUUCUCAUCGAAUGGAAAAUGUAACAAUUACGACAGCAGAAUUGCUUAACCUCGUUGUGGCUCGAUAUAACUCAAUAUAACCCGAAAGCGUAGAUAUAUAAUUGAAUAAGUAUCAUUGGAAUAUAGUUAAUGAUACUAAAGAUAGUGUUUCGAUAUUCGAUUCCAGUAUGAAAUAUAUUUAUCUGUGUUUUAGUAGCUUUUGUGUAUUUUACGCUUUUCAUAAAUAGAGUAUUUUAAAAUUUGCGAAGAGGAUAUCCGGAAGGUAUGCAAACGUCGAUAAGAAACGUAGAGGAAGAUCAGAAUUAAAUAAUUAAAUCUGCACAACGUCUCACGACUUGUCUAUUCAAAACACUCUGAGAAGACUUACGAGUAAACGGCGUUAAGAGCCUCUGUAACCGCUCGAUACCGGUACCGUUUCGAGUCACGAAUCGAGAAACGGAGAUCGAUAGCCGGGAUACUCGCCAAUAUUCCUGGUGCCGAUAAUCUUCGCGCAAUUUCGCGGAGCCGUGAAGCCCGGGGCGGUCGGUUCGCGGCGGCGAAAACAGAAAGAGCGAGCGGAUCCGCGGCGCAGGAUCACGAAAUGGUUAAGAAGCGUUCUCGUAGUCUUGGCUUCGAGAUCCAGCCACCCCGUCAUUUACAUAUUCAUACCCUAUCGGUUGAUCUCGAUCAACGAUGCCUGAUAAAACAGUUUAAGCGCUAAUGCAGCCGCCGCGGUGCCCAGUUCCUGGCUUUUUCUCGUCGCGAUAAUCUCCGUUUCGUCGGGAUUUUCAAUCGACUGCCAUCGCUUUCCCCUGGCCUGGAACCACGGCAAAUUACCAAUGAAUGGUGGCAGCUUUGGAGAAUGGUGAAAGGAAACGUGGCCAAGUGUCGCAGUGUGUUCUUCGAUGCUUCGAGGGAUAGGAUGUUUACCCACGUGCGCCAACGACUACACCGGGCUGGGAGUUAAGAUAAUGUUUGCUCGAACCAGGAAUCGACUAUACGUUACCAUCGACUACCGUGCAGGCGCUUUUUUUUAGCUGACGUUACCGUGCAAGAAUCGUUCGAAGCUCUUCGCUGCAGUUCCGCAAAAAUCCAUCUACCCGUCCAUCGAUCUGAAUAUUUCCAUCGGCCAGGAUUUUACGCAGGAUCGUUUCAUCGAUCGACGAUUCCCUUCCCAUCUCUACACGUGCUUCCCCGUUUAUCGUCCCGAUAAGAGUAUCCCGAGGAGAGAUAGUGUCUACCAGAACAAGAAGCAUUCCGUUGGUUCGAGGAGAAGCCUGGAAUUCCUGGUCCGUAUCCAUUUCAAAGGACAAUGAUCCGGCAGUGCCUUUGUGCGAUCCGCAAUGGAGUGGUCGGACUGUCGUUGAUUACUGGCGAAGGAGCAGCGCUAUGGGUGAAAAGCUAUGACAAGGGUUGCACGAGUGAAAAGAGAGAAACGAGAGGGGUUGGAUGAAAGUUUGGAAGAGAGGGGAGCAGGGGAGGACGGGUGGUUGCUAUCAAUCACACAGGCUGGAUGAAAGCCACGCGGUCGGCUCUGUGUCACGCCAUUGUGAAAUACCAGCCGAAAUUCGAGCGCGAAUCGUCCGAAAUUUUGGAAUUUUAAUUCAACGGCUAGAAAAUCGCCGGCUAUUCGACGGAUCGACCGGUAUUGUCUGCUGUCCGCGACACGUACGGAUGCCUGGAAAUGAUUAUUUGCUGGCUGUAUGGUGUUUCGAUGAGAUAUGGCUGAAUGGAAAUUUCGGGGACGAGCCAUAGGUAUGGAUUGAUUGGUGGUAAAUAUUCGCGGAAAGAUUUGUGGUACUAUGCGUAUUAAAAUCUUGUAAGUCGAAAGUGGGAAGUGUUUCGUUUAUGGAACAGGCUGUUCUUAUGAUGCUUGGUAGCCGCGUUAAAGGUUUUUAGUAUCGGUAAUGUACUAGUAUAUUUAACAACGUGAUUUCCGAGAUUUUGUUCUUACUAUUAUUUGGACAAAUUCUUAUGUCUGUUCUUUUAGAAAGAUCGAAACCCGUAUUCUUCUAUCUUUUUUAACAUUUUUUACGCUGGUUAAAAUUUGUUACGACUUCUGUAUCUCUUCACAUUUGUUACGCUUCUUCAAUUUUUUAAACCAAUGACAAGACGGGGCAGAUGCAGAAGAAGUAAACAAAAUACUUCAAUCGCGCAAUGUUUGCUUCGAUGUUCUCUUAAAAGAUCCAGUUCGCUCGUUUCUCUUGCAAUUUUUCGGCAACUAGAGAGCCACAUUCCACAGGUACAAAUAGAAGAACUGACUAAUUAAAUCGGGAAAAAGUAUAAAACGAAGGCGCUUCGUGGUACCCGGCGUUUAAUUUGCGUUACAAUCCGGGAUUACUGUCAACAGCUUUUAUUAUACGUUCUGGUCGUAGCAUUUCGCGAAUCGCCUGGUAUUUUCUGCCCUAAACGACGGCACGUUUCCUCCUCGAACGACAUUCCGUCUUUUUAUCGUUCCCAUUAUCGCAUUCCCCUUAUAUCGAAUUCAUGACCAAGAGAUGCAUCGGAUAGGAUGUUCCAUGGUGUGUCCAGCUUGAUGCCUCCAACGGGCAUCAUCCGUAUUUUUAUCAGUGUCUCCCGCAGGAUGAUGACACGACGUCGCCUCGUGAAAUGACAGCAAUUAAAAUUCCAUCGUUCGCGGACCUCGAAUAUCGUCUUGUAAACGAGUAUCGUUCGAUCGAUGCUUGUCGCCGAUGUAAUCUUUUCAUUAAUGUACAUUUUUAAGCAAAUUGGUCCAAUAACGACGAGACGGAACUCGAUGAUCUAUACUCUGUACCUGUUAGGUAGACGACGCUCGAACUAGUAAUAGGAUCGUUAAAGAACGAUCUAGUAAUAAGAUCUACGGUAGUUUGGUCCUUUGCAAGACGACCAUAAUACGCUCUACACCUCCUUCUUUAUCCCUUCGUUCACGCUGCAUAUUUCUUCCUUCUUUUGUUAAGUAAUUCUUCCUUUUUCGCGGUUCGUUAUAACUUUUUUGAAAUUUCAUCAGCACCUAGUCACGAAGGAAUCUAAUACCAGGUCCUAGAUUUUCAUGAAGGCGUCGUGUUCACAUAACACGUGCAGCCGAAUAUUAUUUUACCUGGACGUAGGAGGGGAGAAACGAAUUAGAUGUCCUGGGGCGAGCAGCGGUCGGUUUCUGGUUACACAUGGACCUCCUAAGGCUGUCCGGGUUAAUAAAACAUUGGUACCUACGACAGUAGUCCCUUUAUUACGAGCGUGUCGCAUGAUUUUUCGACGGUUUCGCCGGUCUGCCAAGAAAUACACUUCGAUCAGCAUCGUGCUAUGUCAACGGGAUAUUUUGACUGGUAAAAAAGCAACGUGCUUUCAAAGGGUUAAAAGAUUCUUGUUUAACCACCUGGACCAGCGAGGAUUCUAUUUUCAGAUCGGGAAUCUUUGAUUAUUGUAUUUCAUUUACUUGACGAAGUGAGUUUUUGAGAGUUCGUGCAAUUUUGUGUGAAUACUGCGCGUAUUCUCUUUUAUGUAAAAUAUCAGCGACGACUAAGAACUCGUAGAAUUGAAAACAGAAAUAUAUGAAUUGUUAUUAAUUUAGAAUAUUACGAUUUACAUUCAUGCGUUAAAAAAUAUACUUUUCGACCUUGUAGGCAGGAGAGAAUUCUUCCUAACUUUGGAUAUUUUCGAUUAAUUUUGUCAAUAGAAUUAACUUUUUGUAGUAUCAGGAGGACUAAAUAAAAGCUGAGUGUAAAAA